GGGCCUGUAGAUUAGUGGAAGAUCAUUUAUUUAUAAUCAAGAGGUCACGGGUUCAAUUCCCGUCAGGUCCA
rnacentral:tRNA from 1 species